rnacentral:rRNA from 1 species
ACCCGACUGCUAUGGGGAUGAGACUAAGAUAUGCAAGUCGAACGCCUGUAACUAUGUACAGGAGUGGCACACCGCUCAGUAACACGUUGACAACCUACCCUCCGGACGGAGACAACCACGGGAAACUGUGGCUAAUCUCCGAUAGACGGCGAUGCCUGGAAUGGUCCGCCGUCCAAAGCCAGCCAUGCAUGUAUGAUGCGCGCCAGAGGAUGGGUCAGCGGCUGAUUAGGUAGUUGGUGAGGUAACGGCUCACCAAGCCAUCGAUCAGUACCGGCCGUGAAAGCGGGAACCGGGAGAUGGGCACUGAGACAAAGGCCCAGGCCCUACGGGGCGCAGCAAUCGCGAAACCUCCACAAUCCGGGCAACCGGGAUGGGGUCAUCCCCAGUGCCACGCCACCGCGUGGUUUUUACCGACAGUAGGAACGUCGGAGAAUAAGGGGAGGGCAAGGCUGGUGCCAGCCGCCGCGGUAAAACCAGCUCCUCAAGUGGUUGGGAUGAUUAUUGGGCCUAAAGCAUCCGUAGCCGGCCCGGCAAGUUCCUGGUUAAAUCCAACCGCUCAACGGUUGGGCCGCUGGGAAUACUACAGGGCUUGGGAGCGGGAGAGGCCGAGGGUACUCCUAGGGUAGGGGUGAAAUCCUGUGAUCCUAGGGGGACCACCAGUGGCGAAGGCGCUCGGCUGGAACGCGUCCGACGGUGAUGGAUGAAAGCCAGGGGAGCGAACCGGAUUAGAUACCCGGGUAGUCCUGGCCGUAAACGAUGCGGGCUAGGUGUCGGCCCGGCUACGAGCCGGACCGGUGCCGAAGCAAAGGCGUUAAGCCCGCCGCCUGGGAAGUACGGUCGCAAGGCUGAAACUUAAAGGAAUUGGCGGGGGAGCACCACAAGGCGUGAAGCCUGCGGUUCAAUUGGAUUCAACGCCAGGAAACUCACCGGGAGCGACAGCAGAAUGACGAUCAGGCUGAUGACCUUAUCCGACGCGCUGAGAGGAGGUGCAUGGCCGUCGACAGUUCGUGGCGUGAGCUGUCCUCUUAAGUGAGGCAACGAACGAGACCCCCACCAUUAGUUGCCAGCGAUACCCUACGGGGUAGCCGGGCACACUAAUGGGACCGCAGCUGAUAAAGCUGAUGAAGGCGGGGGCCACGGCAGGUCAGUAUGCCCCGAAACUCCCGGGCCACACGCGGGCUGCAAAGCCCCGGACAAUGGGCUGCAACCCCGAAAGGGGAAGCAAAUCUCACAAACCGGGGCACAGUCGGGACCGAUGGCUGCAACCCGCCAUCGCGAACAUGGAAUGCCUAGUAAUCGCCUGUCAACACCAGGCGGUGAAUACGUCCCUGCUCCUUGCACACACCGCCCGUCGCUCCACCCGAGUCAAGUUGGGAUGAGCCGCUGUCCGCCAGCAAGCUUCGGCAAGCAGGUGGGUGGUGUCGAAUCCGAGCUCGGCAAGGGGGGAG